AGAAUCAACGCUGGCGGCGUGCCUAACACAUGCAAGUCGAACGAGAAAGGGGAGCAAUCCCUGAGUAAAGUGGCGACCGGGUGAGUAACACGUGACUAACCUACCUUCGAGUGGGGGAUAACCUCGGGAAACCGAGGCUAAUACCGCAUAACAUCGUGAGAUCAAAGCAGUAAUGCGCUGGAAGAGGGGGUCGCGGCUGAUUAGCUAGUUGGCGGGGUAAUGGCCCACCAAGGCGAAGAUCGGUAGCCGGCCUGAGAGGGCGCACAGCCACACUGGAACUGAAACACGGUCCAGACUCCUACGGGAGGCAGCAGUGGGGAAUUUUGCGCAAUGGGGGAAACCCUGACGCAGCAACGCCGCGUGGAGGAUGAAGUCCCUUGGGACGUAAACUCCUUUCGACCAAGACGAUAAUGACGGUACUGGUGGAAGAAGCACCGGCUAACUCUGUGCCAGCAGCCGC
rnacentral:rRNA from 1 species